GGCCGCCUGGAUGGCAACGCGUCUGACUACGAUUAAAUCAGGAGAUUGCAGGUUCGACCCCUGCGGUGGUCA
rnacentral:tRNA from 1 species